GAUGAACGCUGGCGGCGUGCCUAAUACAUGCAAGUCGAGCGAACGGACGAGAAGCUUGCUUCUCUGAUGUUAGCGGCGGACGGGUGAGUAACACGUGGAUAACCUACCUAUAAGACUGGGAUAACUUCGGGAAACCGGAGCUAAUACCGGAUAAUAUUUUGAACCGCAUGGUUCAAAAGUGAAAGACGGUCUUGCUGUCACUUAUAGAUGGAUCCGCGCUGCAUUAGCUAGUUGGUAAGGUAACGGCUUACCAAGGCAACGAUGCAUAGCCGACCUGAGAGGGUGAUCGGCCACACUGGAACUGAGACACGGUCCAGACUCCUACGGGAGGCAGCAGUAGGGAAUCUUCCGCAAUGGGCGAAAGCCUGACGGAGCAACGCCGCGUGAGUGAUGAAGGUCUUCGGAUCGUAAAACUCUGUUAUUAGGGAAGAACAUAUGUGUAAGUAACUGUGCACAUCUUGACGGUACCUAAUCAGAAAGCCACGGCUAACUACGUGCCAGCAGCCGCGGUAAUACGUAGGUGGCAAGCGUUAUCCGGAAUUAUUGGGCGUAAAGCGCGCGUAGGCGGUUUUUUAAGUCUGAUGUGAAAGCCCACGGCUCAACCGUGGAGGGUCAUUGGAAACUGGAAAACUUGAGUGCAGAAGAGGAAAGUGGAAUUCCAUGUGUAGCGGUGAAAUGCGCAGAGAUAUGGAGGAACACCAGUGGCGAAGGCGACUUUCUGGUCUGUAACUGACGCUGAUGUGCGAAAGCGUGGGGAUCAAACAGGAUUAGAUACCCUGGUAGUCCACGCCGUAAACGAUGAGUGCUAAGUGUUAGGGGGUUUCCGCCCCUUAGUGCUGCAGCUAACGCAUUAAGCACUCCGCCUGGGGAGUACGACCGCAAGGUUGAAACUCAAAGGAAUUGACGGGGACCCGCACAAGCGGUGGAGCAUGUGGUUUAAUUCGAAGCAACGCGAAGAACCUUACCAAAUCUUGACAUCCUUUGACAACUCUAGAGAUAGAGCUUUCCCCUUCGGGGGACAAAGUGACAGGUGGUGCAUGGUUGUCGUCAGCUCGUGUCGUGAGAUGUUGGGUUAAGUCCCGCAACGAGCGCAACCCUUAAGCUUAGUUGCCAUCAUUAAGUUGGGCACUCUAAGUUGACUGCCGGUGACAAACCGGAGGAAGGUGGGGAUGACGUCAAAUCAUCAUGCCCCUUAUGAAUUGGGCUACACACGUGCUACAAUGGACAAUACAAAGGGCAGCGAAACCGCGAGGUCAAGCAAAUCCCAUAAAGUUGUUCUCAGUUCGGAUUGUAGUCUGCAACUCGACUACAUGAAGCUGGAAUCGCUAGUAAUCGUAGAUCAGCAUGCUACGGUGAAUACGUUCCCGGGUCU
rnacentral:rRNA from 1 species